rnacentral:rRNA from 1 species
UACGGAGGGUGCAAGCGUUAUCCGGAUUCACUGGUUUAAAGGGUGUGUAGGCGGGUAUUUAAGUCAGUGGUGAAAUCUCCAGGCUCAACCUGGAAACUGCCAUUGAUACUAUUUAUCUUGAAUCCUGUUGAGGUGGGCGGAAUAUAUCAUGUAGCGGUGAAAUGCUUAGAUAUGAUAUAGAACACCGAUUGCGAAGGCAGCUCACUAAACAGGUAUUGACGCUGAGGCACGAAGCGUGGGGGAUCAAACAGG